UCUAGAGGUUCCGAUUGAGUUUAUAAUUCACGGCACUCAGAUUCUCUCCCCCGUGGGGGAUAAGAGGUAGACUCGCAAUGCUCCACUUGAGAUAUGUGCAUUUCCUAUUGCCCACAAUAAAAUGAAAGGGGAUCCUCUAUUGUGUAUGGUAUCGGCGGAGGUGGGCACGCAGGUUACAACUCGAUGUAAAUUUCUUGUUACACACUGAGCACUCAAAAGGUUUCUCUCCUGUGUGGGUUCGGAGAUGGACUCGCAAUUCUCCACUUGACUUAAAUUGUUUGUUACACACUAAGCACUCAAAAGGUUUCUCAUCGGUGUGGGUUCGGAGAUGGACUUGCAGAUGACCAGAUUGUGCAAAUUUCUUCUUACACACUGGGCACUCAAAAGGUUU